UUAGAUUUGAGAAAGAAAAAUUAGAUUAGAAACAGGAAAAUGUUGGUAGAACAAAAAUAGUAAAAUAUUACUUUGUCAAAUAUAUUUCAGAAUGCCACGCUCUCGUCCGUCGUUAUCACGUUGGAUCAACCUCAAUGAGAAACUGGAGCAGCUUCUUGCGACUGUGCCCAAUGAGAAUUAACAUAUAGUUGCUUGAAUGUUAAUUUUGUUAAUUGCUUGAAUGCCUAUUAAUUGCUUGAAUGUUAAUUAUGUCAAAAUUAACAAUUGAAGAGCACGGAGAAUGGAGGGAAAUGGCAAACAUGAUGCAGAAUGUAACGGUUCCACUAGAGACUUUUUUUCCAGAUCGAUCACGCCAGGGAUCCGGUCAUGUUCAUUUUGAUUUAAUUAACUAUUGAUUUUUCUGUUAUUUCGUGUAACUAACCAACCUUAUUUUGUGAUGUCAAAUGUAGAUUUUCGGUGAAGUUAGUAAGGUAUAUGCUCUCAGGUGGAAGGACGUACUUGACGGCAUAUGGCAUUUGGUUGACAAGGACGGAAAUUAUCAUAAUGUUGUCUACAAUAAAGAUUUGGACCAACCAGCCAUUGUAGUAGGGUGAACAACACUACGAGAUUUUUACCAGCUGACUAGAGAUCAUCUAGUAUCCUUAACUCAUUAUGGUAAGAGUGCAUUUUUUCUUAUCAUAUUCAAGACCAGUUGUCUGCCCAGAUCAUUCUCAAGAUGACACUCUUUAUACCAUCAAGUGCCAGAUUCUGUCACCUUCAAGGUUUAUCUCACUCGGCAGAAAGCUACCUGUAACAGUCUGGACAUUCCAAGUAGUAUAUAUUAUUUUCUUAAAAACAAAAGCUGGACUCAUUUGCACUUGGAGGACGUUGUAAAAUGCCGGCUUGUGUUCAAUCAUUGGAGGAAAACACUUAAAAUUGGAGCUGGAUGGAAACAUUUCUGCCAAACCUUGUCCUUGACAGCUGACAUGAAAAUAAUUUUUUAAUUCAUUGAUCCCAAUGUUAACCGUGUGCUUUAUUGGCCAUGUUUAUGAACAUUUUAAUUACUAUGAACAUUUCAAUUAUUAUGAACAUUUUAAUUAUUAUGAACA